rnacentral:rRNA from 1 species
UACGGAGGGUGCGAGCGUUGUCCGGAAUCAUUGGGCGUAAAGGGCGCGUAGGUGGCGGGACAAGCGUGCGGUGAAAGCUCGGGGCUCAACCCCGAGUCGGCCGUGCGAACUGUUUUGCUUGAGCACUGUAGGGGAGACUGGAAUUCCUGGUGUAGCGGUGGAAUGCGCAGAUAUCAGGAGGAACACCAAUGGCGAAGGCAGCUCGCUGGGACGUGACUGACGCUGAGACGCGAAAGCGUGGGGAGCAAACAGG